GAGCGGCAAGUUGAGAAGCAAUUCGAGACCUAGAGCGGCGUACGGGUGCGUAACGCGUAUGCAACCUACCUCAUACAGGGGGAUAGCCCGGAGAAAUCUGGAUUAAUACCCCAUGGUACACAGUGAAGGCAUCUGAGUUGUGUUAAAGAUUCAUCGGUAUGAGAUGGGCAUGCGUCUGAUUAGCUAGUUGGCGGUGUAACGGACCACCAAGGCGACGAUCAGUAGGGGUUCUGAGAGGAAGGUCCCCCACACUGGCACUGAGAUACGGGCCAGACUCCUACGGGAGGCAGCAGUAGGGAAUAUUGGGCAAUGGUCGGAAGACUGACCCAGCCAUGCCGCGUGCAGGAAGAAGGCGUUCUGCGUUGUAAACUGCUUUUAUCUGGGAAGAAAAGGCCCAUGCGUGGGACAUUGCCGGUACCAGAUGAAUAAGCACCGGCUAACUCCGUGCCAGCAGCCGCGGUAAUACGGAGGGUGCAAGCGUUGUCCGGAUUUAUUGGGUUUAAAGGGUGCGUAGGCGGCUAUUUAAGUCAGCGGUGAAAGACUUCGGCUUAACCGGAGCAGUGCCAUUGAUACUGGAUAGCUUGAGUGUUGGAGGGGUACAUGGAAUUGAUGGUGUAGCGGUGAAAUGCAUAGAUACCAUCAGGAACACCGAUAGCGAAGGCAUUGUACUGGCCAACAACUGACGCUGAGGCACGAAAGUGUGGGGAUCGAACAGGAUUAGAUACCCUGGUAGUCCACACUGUAAACGAUGAUUACUCGCUGUUAUGCUGUAGAGUGUAGCGGCCAAGCGAAAGCGUUAAGUAAUCCACCUGGGGAGUACGCCGGCAACGGUG
rnacentral:rRNA from 1 species